rnacentral:pre_miRNA from 1 species
UAAUAACGAUGAUGAUGAAGAUGAUGAUGAAGAUGAGGAUGAUCAUCAAUAUAAUAGCGAUCAUCAUCAUCAUCAUCAUCAUCAUCAUCAUCAUCA